UCCGAGGUGGCUCAGAUGGUAAAGUGUCUGCCUGCUAUGCUGGAGACCUGGGUUCGAUCCCUGGGUUAGGAA
rnacentral:tRNA from 1 species